AUGGGCAGGAGGAGCGCAUCCUUAUGUAAUGGCAGAGAGCAGGCCAGUAAGAGGCCAUCGGCGCUCCCUCCCUGCGCCCACAAAGACAGACAGGUACCUCCGACACCCGGAGCGUCUCGGGCUCCAGUGGCCUACGCGUUCAGGGCUGGAGAGAGGGCCACAAAGCCCCGCAAACGUCUCCGGCCAGGGAACAGGCAUGAGGAGUUGCCAGGAUGCAGACCUGAUUUCCAACACCUGGCGCAAGCCCCGGCCGCGAACCUGUCGCCCGCUGGCCACCCGAACACCGGCUACCGCCGCCGCUCCGGACGCCGCGCUCCGCCCCGCCCUGGACCCGCCCCCUCGCCGCGCAUGCGCGCCCCGCCCCGGCUGGCUCCGCCUCCCCGGCCGCCGAGGCAGGUGUCAGAGGCGCUCAGUAGAGUCGUGAGCCAGCGGCUCACCUCGGGAGUGAGCGCGCCUCCCCAGGUGCAGUCGCACUCACGCCCUGAGGGGGUCCUUGGGAACUGCACGUUCCAACCGGAAACCAGCGAGGGAGUCACAGUCACGAGGCUGUCAGCGCACAGAUUUGCACAAGGGAGAGAGGGAUUGCUGACGACUGGGUGCGCUGCGUGUCUGUCCUUGAAGACUGUUCUGACGCGUGCAUGAACGUGCGUGUGCAGAUUUCCAACAAACACCUGACACGUCUCCCCUCAAGUCCCAUAUUUUGUAUGGGGGGGGAGGGAAAAGUAGUUAGAAGUUUUGGAAGACAUGACGUUAAUUUUAAUUAAUUUUAUUUGAAAGGCAGGAGACAAAUUAUUGAGAGACCGGAGACAAAUUCCCCCAAAUUCUUGGGACUCUGGGUCUCCCAUAUGGGUGGUGGGGAUCCAACCACUUGAGCCAUCACAGCCUUCCAGGGUGCACAUUAGGGGUAAGCUGGAGUUGAAAACAGCCAGGACUUUAAUCCCGGCCGGCUGUAUUAUGACUUUAAACCUCAAUAUUUCUGUUUGAGAAAGGGUAACACUGGACUGAACUUUGCCUUAUCUUUGAAACUUCAUUAUGUCUCAUCAAGAAAAAAAAAAUCUUUCUUCCUAAAAAUUCUUAAAUGAGGCCGGCGCCGCGGCUCACUAGGCUAAUCCUCCGCCUCGCGGUGCCGGUACACUGGGUUCUAGUCCCAGUCGGGGCGCCGGAUUCUGUCCCGGUUGCCCCUCUUCCAGGCCAGCUCUCUGCUGUGGCCAGGGAGUGCAGUGGAGGAUGGCCCAGGUGCUUGGGCCCUGCACCCCAUGGGAGACCAGGAGGAAGCACCUGGCUCCUGCCUUCGGAUAGGCGCGGUGCACCAGCCGCAGCUCGCCGGCCUCGGCGGCCAUUGGAGGGUGAACCCACGGCAAAGGAAGACCUUUCUCUCUGUCUCUCUCUCUCACUGUCCACUCGGCCUGUCAAAAAAAAAAAAAAAAAAAAAAAAAAAAAAAAAAAAAGAAAGAAAGAAAAAAAUAAAAAUUCUUAAAUGAACA
rnacentral:lncRNA from 1 species